CUAAGGCCGAUGGCGACCGGCGCACGGGUGAGUAACACGUAUCCAACCUGCCGAUAACUCGGGGAUAGCCUUUCGAAAGAAAGAUUAAUACCCGAUGGCAUAAUAGAACCGCAUGGUUUGAUUAUUAAAGAAUUUCGGUUAUCGAUGGGGAUGCGUUCCAUUAGGCAGUUGGUGGGGUAACGGCCCACCAAACCUUCGAUGGAUAGGGGUUCUGAGAGGAAGGUCCCCCACAUCGGAACUGAGACACGGUCCAA
rnacentral:rRNA from 1 species